rnacentral:rRNA from 1 species
UUAAGUGAACAAGGGCAUACGGCGGAUGCCUUGGCGCCAAGAGCCGAUGAAGGACGCGGUAAGCUGCGAAAAGGCAUGGGUAGGAGCAAGCAUCCUGUGAUCCAUGCAUAUCCGAAUGGGGCAACCCACCAUCAGUCAUGUGAUGGUACGAAAGAGGCAGACCUGGGGAACUGAAACAUCUAAGUACCCAGAGGAAAAGUAAUCAAUUGAGAUUCCCUAAGUAGCGGCGAGCGAAAGGGGAAGAGCCCAAACCAGAUAACUUCGGUUGUCUGGGGUUGAGGACCGGCAAAAAGAGGAAACUUCUUAGUCGAAUGGUUUGGAAAGGCCAUGCAUAGAAGGUAAAACACCUGUAGGCGAAAAGAAGUCAAUCGGGCUGGUAUCCAGAGUACUGCGAGACACGUGAAACCUUGCAGGAAGCAGGGGGGACCACCCUCCAAGGCAAAAUACUACUUGGCGACCGAUAGCGCAUAGUACCGUGAGGGAAAGGUGAAAAGAACCCCGGGAGGGGAGUGAAAUAGAACCUGAAACCGUAUGUCUACAAGCAGUCGAAGCACCUUAAGAGUGCGACGGCGUGCCUAUUGAAGAAUGAACCGGCGAGUUACAUUAUGUUGCGAGGUUAAGUGGGAGACACGGAGCCGAAGCGAAAGCGAGUCUUAAUAGGGCGACUAGUAACAUGGUGUAGACCCGAAACCGCAGUGAUCUAUCCAUGGUCAGGUUGAAGCGCAGGUAAAAAUGCGUGGAGGACCGAACCCGUGAGUGUUGAAAAACUUUGGGAUGAACCGUGGAUAGGGGUGAAAUGCCAAUCGAACGCGGAGAUAGCUGGUACUCCCCGAAAUAGCUUUAGGGCUAGCCUCAGGGAAGAUUAUAGACGGUAGAGCACUGAUCUGGCAAGGGGGCGUAAAGCCUACCGACCCUAGUCAAACUUCGAAUGGCUAUAAUUAAGACCCUGGGAGUCAGACUGCGAGUGAUAAGACCCGUAGUCAAGAGGGAAACAGCCCAGACCGCCGACUAAGGUCCCCAAUGCUGUACUAAGUGGAAAAGGAUGUAAGACUUCAUAAACAACCAGGAUGUUGGCUUAGAAGCAGCCACCAUUAAAAGAGUGCGUAAUAGCUCACUGGUCGAGAGGCCUUGCGCCGAAGAUGUCCGGGGCUCAAGUACAGAACCGAAGUCGCGGCAGGAUUAUAUAAUUCUGGGUAGGGGAGCGUUGUAUAUCCGACUGAAGGUGUACCGGAAGGAGCGCUGGAGGAUAUACAAGAGAGAAUGCCGGUAUGAGUAGCGAAAAGAACAGUGAGAAUCUGUUCCACCGAAAGCCUAAGGUUUCCUGAGCAACGCUCGUCGACUCAGGGUAAGUCGGGACCUAAGCCGAGGCAAAAAGCAUAGGCGAUGGACAACAGGUUAAUAUUCCUGUACCGCUUCAAAUCGUUUGAGCAAUGGAGUGACACAGAAGGUAGCUUGAGCACGCGAAUGGAUGUGCGUGUCGAAGGUGGUAGAUUGCAGUAUAGGCAAAUCCGUACUGUAUAAGAUCGAGAACUGAUAGAUAGACGAUACUUCGGUAAAGUCAAAUUCAAGUGAGCCAUGCUGUCGAGAAAAGCUUCUAGUGAGAGAUGAGGCGCCCGUACCGAAACCGACACAGGUAGGCGGGGAGAGAAUCCUAAGGUGCGCGGGACAACCCUCGUUAAGGAACUCGGCAAAUUGUAUCCGUAACUUAGGGAUAAGGAUAGCCGGAGGAUGUGAAGGGAUUUACUUCUGGAGCGUCAGCCGGUGGCACAAGAGAGGCCCAAGCGACUGUUUAGCACAAACACAGGUGCCUGCAAAAGAGAAAUCUGACGUAUAGGUGCUGACACCUGCCCGGUGCUGGAAGGUUAAGAGGAGGGCUUAGAGGCAACUCGAAGGCUUGAAUUGAAGCCCCAGUAAACGGCGGCCGUAACUAUAACGGUCCUAAGGUAGCGAAAUUCCUUGUCGGGUAAGUUC